rnacentral:lncRNA from 1 species
ACUUGCUUCAUUUUCACUUGGUCAAAGCAUGUCCUGUCACACUUACCCAUAUGUUAAAACUAGAAUUAUUUAGCAGCCAACUUGCCAACAAAGAAUUAUAUAAAAUAUUCACAUGCUUUGGGCCCAAGGAAUUUGCAUCUGUGAUCUGUUUUUUCUAAAUUGUUUAUAUUUUUUAACAGGAGUUUACACGGUGAAGAUAGAUGUAGACCAAAGUAAAGUAACAGUGACAGGAAAUGUUGAUCCAAACACACUGGUAAAGAAACUAGUGAAAUCAGGGAAACAUGCAGAGAUAUGGGGAGGACAAAAAGGAGGAGGUUCUAAUUUCAAUAUGAUGAACAAUCAGUUCAUGAACAUGCAAAUGGACAAUUUCAAAGGUGGAAAAGACAACAAAUCUCAAAAGGGUGGUGGUGGUGGGAAUAAGGAACAACCUAAGGGAGGUGGGGGUGCACAACAGUUUCUUCAGAUGAUGCAAAACCUCAAAGGCUCAAAAGAUAAUUUUAAGAUGCCUAAUAUGCCUAAUGCAAAGGACCAAAAAUCUGUGAAGUUUAAUUUGCCGGAGGAUGAUUUUGAUGAUGAGUUUGAUGAUGAUUUUGAUGAUGAUGAAGAUGAGUUUGACGAUUAUUCUGAUGAUGAUUUUGAUGGCCGCCCAGCGGGCAAAAUGAUGCCAGCUAUGCGGACAACUUCAAAGGUGGAAAAGACAACAAAUCUCAAAAGGGCGGCAGCGGCGGCGGGAAUAAGGAACAGCCAAAGGGGGGUGGGGGUGCACAACAGUUUCUUCAGAUGAUGCAAAACCUCAAAGGCUCAAAAGAUAAUUUCAAGAUGCCUAAUGCAAAGGACCAGAAAUCUGUGAAGUUCAAUUUGCCUGAGGAUGAUUUUGAUGAUGAGUUUGAUGAUGAUUUUGACGAUGAUGAAGAUGAGUUUGAUGAUGAUUCUGAUGAUGGUUUCGAUGGCCGCCCGGUGAUGCCUGCUAUGGGGGGUGGUCAUGGACCCCAUGGGAUUAAUGCAAUGAUGAAUGCAAGUAUGAAGGGUGGGGAUAUGAAUAAUAAUGGUGGAAAUGGCAAGAAAGGUGGUGGUGGUGGGGUUGAAAUCCCUGUACAAAUGAAGGGUAUGGGUGGAAAUCAUCAUGAUGGUAAGAACAAUAAUGGAGGAAAACAGG